rnacentral:rRNA from 1 species
CUACGGGCGGCUGCAGUGGGGAAUAUUGGACAAUGGGGGAAACCCUGAUCCAGCAAUGCCGCGUGUGUGAAGAAGGCCUGCGGGUUGUAAAGCACUUUCGGUUGGGAGGACUGCUUCUAGCACUAAUAUUGUUGGAAGUUGACGUUACCUUCAGAAGAAGCACCGGCUAACUCCGUGCCAGCAGCCGCGGUAAUACGGCGGGUGCAAGCGUUAAUCGGAAUUACUGGGCGUAAAGCGCGCGUAGGCGGCUAGAUCAGUCGGGUGUGAAAGCCCCGGGCUUAACCUGGGAACUGCAUCCGAUACUGUCUAGCUUGAGUACAGGAGAGGAGAGUGGAAUUCCACAUGUAGCGGUGAAAUGCGUAGAUAUGUGGAGGAACACCAAUGGCGAAGGCAGCUCUCUGGCCUGAUGCUGACGCUGAGGUGCGAAAGCGUGGGGAGCAAACAGGAUUAGAUACCCGCGUAGUC